GAAAAAACACAUCUUCUUCUGGGCUCCCUACGGCUCACACUUGUGAAUUUCUUCACCAACUUGACAAGCGUGCGGGCAAGUGGCCGGUGGGGUGCAGCAGCAAAUGAUGCCCAGCAGUCC
rnacentral:rRNA from 1 species